CUGUCACCUUAAAACGUCUGUCACACUCAGGGCAAAGCCAGCCUUUGACAGCUCCAGACAAUUGGAAAGACAAGAUCUUUCCAAUCCCCCUUAUCUUUCCUCUCUCUCCCCACAUGAUCCUUGGAGGGACCAGAGGAGAGAUUAGCAAGCUAGUGGAGGAGCAAAUACACCAAACCCACAGGAUCCUGGCAGCAGGCCCUAGCGGGAAGAAGGGAGAAGAUGUAAGUAAUGAAUUACAGUGACCACAGGACCUUUUAUUACCUAAUAGUGAUUAGAAUACUCAUGGGUCUGCCCAUAUUCUCAUUCUAGAGCAAGGAACAGAUUGCACGCAAUGAAUAGGUUUAAAGGGAAACAGGAGACAAAGUUGCUUUUAGAAGAAUCCUGCUUGUUCAACGUAUUGGGCACAUUAUUAUUACUUAUCUAGCACUAACCAUGUGCUAAGCACUGUAUAUUCUCCAAAUAACUCACAGAGGGCAAGAUUGACUAGAGGAAUCCUUCCUGAAUUCUGGCAGCCCUGAUUCACCUCGGAGUUAAUUAUCUCUAAUAUGCUGUACAAUUCCCUCUGUACCUUUUAUCACGUGGAGUGGAGGCAUAAUUUAGCCAAAUGUAUCAUUUGAGACUUUUUUUUACCAAAAGAAAAUGAUUGUGUGUGUGCCUUAUAAAAAUAUUCAUUGUUUAUUCACGAGAUGUUUAUCGAGGCCACGCCUCUGUGCCAAGCGUGGCGCUGGGUCCCUUCUAAUUUCUCCCCAGGUUAACUUCUCACAGGGCUAUCAGGGCAGUAGUCUUAUCCCCAUUUGACAGAUGAAAACACGAAGUUCAGAGUGAAGAGAGAGGUUCAAAUCUUUCGUCCCCACCCCUACCUGCUUGGACGCCACGUGUCUACACAGAGUUGUGUCCCUCCAUCACGGCAAUUCCCAAUAGACUCCAAUAAACGGUUUCUUCCCUGUGUCCUCUCCACCCUAGCCUGGUCCCUGCUUCCCUCUGUUGCCUCACGUCCCUGGCGUGUCCCCUCACCCUCUCUGCACCUCUGUAUGUGGUCCCUUAAUGGAGGUCUCUUCAUCAGAACCCCGUGCGGUGGAUGGCUUUCCUCCAGGACGGGGAUGGAGCCACUUGUCCAAGAGCAUGCAGCUGAUAACAGAGUGGUGGCUCUGAGAUUCCACACUCUCCAUCUGUCCACUGUCUCUGUCAUCCUUCCCUCCCACCCCUGUUAUCCUGAGAAGCUUAUUUUUUUGAGGAUAAGACAAAGAGAGCUGCAUUGUAUCUUCGAAUGUCUCUGCGUUUCUGACAGGACGUUAGAAGGCAGGCCUUUGUGGAAUCCAGUGAGAACAUGUGCGUUUCACUUCCAAACCUCUAUUCAAGUUAACCCAACUGAAAUCAAUCACCUGAUUCCUUUUGAAAGAAUCUUGUCCAGCUGAAGAUUCAAAGAUGACCAUGGUGAGCUGUGUUAAGCUUCCCAGGGACGCCAUAACGUAAUACAUACAAUGGGCGCUUAAAAGCCAGAAGUCCAAAGUCACGGUGUCAGCAGGGCCAUGUUCCCUCUGAGGCUCUGGGUAGAAUCCUUCCUGGCCUCUUACUAGCUUCUGGUGGUGGCUGGCAAUCUUUGGUGUCCCUUGGCUCGCAGCUGCAUCACUCCAACCUCUGCCUCCAUCAUCACAUGGCCUCCUCCUCUCUGGGUCCAUGUGUCUUCUCUUCUUCUUAUAGAGCACCAGUCCUGUUGUGCCUAGGGCCCACCCCAUUCCAGUUUGACCUCAUCUUUACUAAUCAUAUCUUCAACAGCCCUAUUUCCCAACAAGGUCACUUUCUAAGGUAUUGGGUGGGGGUCAGGACUUGAACAUGUCUUUUUGGGGGACACAAUUUAACCUGUAACAGAGCUAUCACUGAAGACUGGGGAUCAACUUGGUGGGGGUCUGACUGCCGCUCGGAGACUGGUUUAGCAACAAAGAUUUAAGAAAAGAAAACAAUCCGGAGCUGCAGUAAACAUUUAAGGGCAGCAUUUUCUUUUUUUUUUUAAUGACCAUAGGAAAUGUUUACACACAUCGGCUGUCAUCAACUCAUGUUCCCAUGUGGAGUGACGAGGAUAGUGGGAUGGAGACUUAGAGAAGCGGCAGUUGGACAGAUUGUCGUGUUCACAGAACUAUUGGGACCUGCGGAUGCAUUCAGUGUGUGCACAUGUGUGUUCGUGACUGGGGGAUGAUGUAGG
ensembl:lncRNA